rnacentral:rRNA from 1 species
GACGAACCGUGCGAACGUUAUUCGGAAUCACUGGGCUUAAAGCGCGUGUAGGCGGGCCGCCGCGUCGGCUGCUGAAAUCCCCCGGCUCAACCGGGGAACGGGCACCGAUACGGGCGGCCUCGAGGGGGGUAGGGGGGACUGGAAUACUUGGUGUAGCAGUGAAAUGCGUAGAUAUCAAGUGGAACACCAGUGGCGAAGGCGAGUCUCUGGACAUUUCCUGACGCUGAGGCACGAAAGCCAGGGGAGCAAACGGG